CCAUGGCUACUGCCCUGCCAACCAAUAGGAAAAGGAGGACCUGCAGAGCGCAGGCCCCGCGGGGCUGGAGGGCUUCAGUGUCUGUAGAAGCUUGUCCCGGGCCCCAGGAGAGCAUCCAUAAUUCUACUCAGUGGACUAUAACCAGGGGAAGUUCCCUUAUUUUCUUCUUCCCCCAUUUUAAGGUUUGAAGGGAUGGCUACACCUGGCGGGAGAAAGCUCAAUGGAGAACUCAUGGCUCAGACAUCAGGAAGGGGCUCCAAAGCCCACACGGAGAGGGCCUGUGCUGACAACUGGUGACUCCAAGACGCCUCUAAUGGUGUCUGCAGGAGAGAACUCCGGAACACAGGGACAGAUACCGACAAGCCAGAAAAGAGCAUGAAAAGCGCCCUCAGGCAAAGCACUGAUGGGCUCUCAUCUCACUUCUGGCAAGGUCAAGGACAGCUUCUCACAGCAGCCUCCUGGAGAGGAAUUCCCUCCAGGGCAGAGACAAUCCUCUCAGAGAUAAAUGUGCUCCGGCUCAGGACACGGGGCAGCACCCAGGGAAAAUGCAACGUGGGCCAGCCCCACGGAGCAUUCCUCUUCUUCCUGGGCCUGAGGCAGCCAGAACCUUCCAGAAAUCUAACGUGGCUCAGAUCAGCCUCCGUGCCCUCGCGCACACAAGUUUGCUGCCCGUCACUCCCCGCCUGUCCGCCUGAGACACAGAAGAGAGGGCGGAGCUGUGCUGAGGGGCACAGACAGCCUGAGGCCCUCUCCAUCAGUGGCCGGACUCUCGGGCCUCCCAAGUCACCACGAGCCUCCGGCACAAUCUCCACACGGCUGAGCGUGGCUUGGUGUGUAGGCGACAGGGUCUCUCCUCCAUCCAGUCCUGCCACCCCAUGUGGAGCUACAGGCCAGCAUGUAAUUAUGGCUUCCAAGGCCACACCAUGGCGACACCUUCCUGUGUCAUGCUCCCCUCCAGGAUCCUUGCUGACCCUGAGUCAGGCCUGGGGAGUGGGAGGCCAUUUUUAACUCCUUGAGGGUGAAUGCUGCUCUGAGCCAUGAUGUGUGUGGCAUGGUGGCUGGGGACUCACAGGGCUGCAUGGCCUUGGGAAAGUCACAGCCUGUCUCUGGGCCUCAGUUUCCCCACCUACAACAUGGGUGGGUCAGGCUCCACAGUGUAGGGGGGCCCUUCUGGUGCCGAUGUCUUUGAAGAGGCUGAUGGAAGAUAUGCAACUCACUGUCACACCCUGAAACUGGGCUCCGGGAUGCUAUAUCUAAUCGUGUGCUCAUUUCUGGUAGGAAAACCGUGUCUUCUGGGUCUGAAAUUGCUAAAGGGACACUCUCUGGCCUUGGAAGGCUUUUUGAGCCCUCCAGCACCCUGCACGCUGCCCUCCCCAUUCACAAGCCACCGCCAUGUGGGGGCAUGGCUCAGAUGCCUCCCGGGCUCCCAGACACACACACAGCCAUGGAACUAGGGUGUGUACGUCGGGGAAGGGGGCCACACAAAGAGCACCCCCUAAGUGCCGGGUGCUGGGCCAGACCUUUCAGGAGCGUUGGCAGUUCGUGUGCUCAUAAAACGACUCUGCAAGGCAGACAGUGCAUUCAUUUGACAAAUCUGGAAACUGAGGCUCUGAGAAGUCAUGUGAUUUGCUGGAGGAGCCCCAGCUGGAGAGGGGCAGAGCCUGGAUCCACCUCAUGGGGUUGUUCUGAGGACUGAGGAUAUGCAGGCAAAAUGCCAGCCCAGGGUUAUCAGGACCCAGGUAGACACAAGAGCUUCAUAAAUGUGGCUGCUGCUGCUAUUAUGAUUACCAUAAUCAUCAUAAAAAAAACCAGGGCUCAUUCAACAGCCAUAUCCCUGCAACAAACAUUUCUAGCAACCCGCUUGGCAAAUCAAUUGUCACAAUAAAGCUGGUCCUCAUUCUCCAGGGGACCCCAGUCUUGUGGCCAACCAGGCCCUCAGGCCUGUGGAUGUGACAGGAGGUGUCCAUCCUCUGAGGAUGCCCACCCCCUGCACACACACACACACACACACACACUCACUCACCCUUUUUGGCAGAGGACACGCUGGCUCCUACUGCAUUCUCCCAGAAGCUGGGAUGUGACGGCAAAGCAUUUCACAAAGUUACCGGGACGAUGAACCUGAGC